rnacentral:rRNA from 1 species
UAGGGAAUCUUCCGCAAUGGACGCAAGUCUGACGGAGCAACGCCGCGUGAGUGAAGAAGGAUUUCGGUUCGUAAAACUCUGUUGCUAGAGAAGAACAGCGCAUAGAGUAACUGUUAUGCGUGUGACGGUAUCUAACCAGAAAGCCACGGCUAACUACGUGCCAGCAGCCGCGGUAAUACGUAGGUGGCAAGCGUUGUCCGGAUUUAUUGGGCGUAAAGCGAGCGCAGGCGGUCAAUUAAGUCUGAUGUGAAAGCCCCCGGCUCAACCGGGGAGGGUCAUUGGAAACUGGUUGACUUGAGUGCAGAAGAGGAGAGUGGAAUUCCAUGUGUAGCGGUGAAAUGCGUAGAUAUAUGGAGGAACACCAGUGGCGAAGGCGACUCUCUGGUCUGUAACUGACGCUGAGGCUCGAAAGCGUGGGUAGCAAACAGG